rnacentral:rRNA from 1 species
CCUACGGGAGGCAGCAGUAGGGAAUCUUCCACAAUGGGCGAAAGCCUGAUGGAGCAACGCCGCGUGGGUGAAGAAGGUCUUCGGAUCGUAAAACCCUGUUGUUAGAGAAGAAAGUGCGUGAGAGUAACUGUUCACGUUUCGACGGUAUCUAACCAGAAAGCCACGGCUAACUACGUGCCAGCAGCCGCGGUAAUACGUAGGUGGCAAGCGUUAUCCGGAUUUGUUGGGCGUAAAGGGAACGCAGGCGGUCUUUUAAGUCUGAUGUGAAAGCCUUCGGCUUAACCGGAGUAGUGCAUUGGAAACUGGGAGACUUGAGUGCAGAAGAGGAGAGUGGAACGCCAUGUGUAGCGGUGAAAUGCGUAGAUAUAUGGAAGAACACCAGUGGCGAAAGCGGCUCUCUGGUCUGUAACUGACGCUGAGGUUCGAAAGCGUGGGUAGCAAACAGGAUUAGAUACCCUUGUAGUC